AGUUUGAUCAUGGCUCGAGAACGAACGCUGGCGGCGUGCCUAACACAUGCAAGUCGAACGUGAAAGGGCUUCGGCCUGAGUAAAGUGGCGCACGGGUGAGUAACGCGUGGGUAAUCUGCCUCUGGGCGGGGGAUAACGGGUCGAAAGACCCGCUAAUACCGCAUGAGACCACGGCCUUGCGGGGUUGUGGGAAAAGAUGGGGAUCUUCGGACCUGUCACCUAGAGAUGAGCCCGCGUACCAUUAGGUAGUUGGUGGGGUAAUGGCCCACCAAGCCGAAGAUGGUUAGCUGGUCUGAGAGGAUGAUCAGCCACACUGGAACUGAGACACGGUCCAGACUCCUACGGGAGGCAGCAGUGGGGAAUAUUGCGCAAUGGGGGAAACCCUGACGCAGCAACGCCGCGUGUGUGAUGAAGGCCUUCGGGUCGUAAAGCACUAUGAGGUGGAACGAGCCGCCGGGGGUUAAUACCCUUCGGCCCGACGGUACCACCAGAGGAAGCACCGGCUAACCCUGUG
rnacentral:rRNA from 1 species